rnacentral:rRNA from 1 species
AGGUGCUGCAUGGCUGUCGUCAGCUCGUGUCGUGAGAUGUUGGGUUAAGUCCCGCAACGAGCGCAACCCUUGUCCUGUGUUGCAACCCGCAAGGGGCACUCUCAGGAGACCGCCAGCGAUAAGUUGGAGGAAGGUGGGGAUGACGUCAAGUCAUCAUGGCCUUUAUGUCCAGGGCUACACACGUGCUACAAUGGGCGGUACAAACCGACGCCAACCCGCGAGGGGGAGCAAAUCGGAAAAAACCGUUCUCAGUUCGGAUUGCAGGCUGCAACUCGCCUGCAUGAAGCUGGAAUCGCUAGUAAUGGUAUAUCAGAACGAUACCGUGAAUACGUUCCCGGGCCUUGUACACACCGCCCGUCACAUCACGAAAGUGGGUUGUACUAGAAGUCUGCAGGCUAACCCGCAAGGGAGGCAGCGGCCCAAGGUAUGACUCAUGAUUGGGGUGAAGUCGUAACAAGGUAGCCGUAGGAGAACCUGCGGCUGGAUCACCUCCUUU